UACGGGGGGGGCAAGCGUUGUUCGGAAUUACUGGGCGUAAAGGGCUCGUAGGUGGCCAACUAAGUCAGACGUGAAAUCCCUCAGCUUAACUGGGGAACUGCGUCUGAUACUGGAUGGCUUGAGUUUGGGAGAGGGAUGCGGAAUUCCAGGUGUAGCGGUGAAAUGCGUAGAUAUCUGGAGGAACACCGGUGACGAAGGCGGCGUUCUGGACUGCAACUGACACUGAUGAACGAAAGCCAGGGGAGCAAACGGG
rnacentral:rRNA from 1 species